rnacentral:rRNA from 1 species
UACGUAGGGUGCAAGCGUUGUCCGGAAUUAUUGGGCGUAAAGAGCUCGUAGGCGGCUUGUCGCGUCGGCUGUGAAAACCCGGGGCUCAACCCCGGGCCUGCAGUCGAUACGGGCAGGCUAGAGUCCGGUAGGGGAGACUGGAAUUCCUGGUGUAGCGGUGAAAUGCGCAGAUAUCAGGAGGAACACCGGUGGCGAAGGCGGGUCUCUGGGCCGGAACUGACGCUAAGGAGCGAAAGUGUGGGGAGCGAACAGG